UACGUAGGGGGCAAGCGUUGUCCGAGUUUACUGGGCGUAAAGAGCGUGUAGGCGGCCACGCAGGUCCGUUGUGAAAACUGGAGGCUCAACCUUCAGACGUCGACGGAAACCGUAUGGCUAGAGUCCGGAAGAGGAGAGUGGAAUUCCUGGUGUAGCGGUGAAAUGCGCAGAUAUCAGGAAGAACACCAAUGGCGAAGGCAGCUCUCUGGGACGGUACUGACGCUGAGACGCGAAAGCGUGGGGAGCGAACAGG
rnacentral:rRNA from 1 species